CCUACGGGAGGCAGCAGUGGGGAAUAUUGCACAAUGGGCGGAAGCCUGAUGCAGCGACGCCGCGUGAGGGAUGACGGCCUUCGGGUUGUAAACCUCUUUCAGCAGGGACGAAGCGUAAGUGACGGUACCUGCAGAAGAAGCGCCGGCCAACUACGUGCCAGCAGCCGCGGUAAU
rnacentral:rRNA from 1 species